UUCCAUUUAUAUAGCAGUUUCAUACAGACUCUUUGAGCUGACAAAUAUAUUGAAAGUGGCAUUUGUGCCUACUAAGGACAACAAACGCCUUAUAUACAACCUCAUUACGGCAGUGGCCAUCUCAAGUCUUCUAUACUUCCUUUCUUUUGUGUUUCUUCGGAUCCCCCGUAUGCUGGGUUGAGCAGAAAUAGGCAUUGAAAUAUAUCUUCUGCCUGCUUUUCCUGUGAAUUAAUUGGCACAGAUUCUUCCACGGAAGGUUUUUCCCUGAACCACAAAUACAAAUUGGUUUGAUGAUAAGAUAUGAAAUACAGACAACACUUAAUGCCAAAUGUAGUGUAUAUGGAAUUGGUUAAAUUUGGAACACCAGGAUUUUUAUUCUUCGAUUUUUACAUGUAAAAUAAUUUAAAAUGCAAUACAAAGUUCUGCUAUUUGUUGCCCAGAA